rnacentral:rRNA from 1 species
AGAGUUUGAUCAUGGCUCAGGAUGAACGCUGACAGAAUGCUUAACACAUGCAAGUCUAUUUGAAGCACCUUCGGGUGUGGAGGAUGGCGGACGGGUGAGUAACGCGUAAGGAACUUGCCUUUUGGACUGGGACAACUGUUGGAAACGACAGCUAAUACCGGAUAUUAUGAGAUUAUCGCAUGGGAAACUUAUGAAAGCUAUAUGCGCCAAAAGAGAGCCUUGCGUUCCAUUAGCUAGUUGGUGGGGUAAAGGCCUACCAAGGCGACGAUGGAUAGCCGGCCUGAGAGGGUGAACGGCCACAAGGGGACUGAGACACGGCCCUUACUCCUACGGGAGGCAGCAGUGGGGAAUAUUGCACAAUGGGGGGAACCCUGAUGCAGCAACGCCGCGUGAAGGAAGAAGUAUUUCGGUAUGUAAACUUCUAUCGACAGGGAAGAAAGAAAUGACGGUACCUGAAUAAGAAGCACCGGCUAAAUACGUGCCAGCAGCCGCGGUAAUACGUAUGGUGCAAGCGUUAUCCGGAUUUACUGGGUGUAAAGGGUGAGUAGGCGGUUAUGCAAGUCAUAUGUGAAAUUCUGGGGCUCAACCUCAGAGCUGCAUAAGAAACUGUGUAACUAGAGUACAGGAGAGGUAAGCGGAAUUCCUAGUGUAGCGGUGAAAUGCGUAGAUAUUAGGAAGAACACCGGUGGCGAAGGCGGCUUACUGGACUGAAACUGACGCUGAGUCACGAAAGCGUGGGGAGCGAACAGGAUUAGAUACCCUGGUAGU